rnacentral:rRNA from 1 species
CAAUAGCGUAUAUUAAAGUUGUUGCAGUUAAAAAGCUCGUAGUUGGAUUUCUGGUUGAAGCGACCGGUCGGGCGUUGAUUCGUCUGCACUGGAGUCGGUUUUGGCCAUCCUCUAGGAAAGUGCGUCUGGUAUUAAGUUAUCGGGCGUAUGAUCCUGGUCUUUUACUGUGAAAAAAUUAGAGUGUUUAAAGCAGGCCUUCGCCUUGAAUACAUUAGCAUGGAAUAAUAAGAUAGGACUUUGGUCUAUUUUGUUGGUUUGCAGACCGAAGUAAUGAUUAAUAGGGAUAGUUGGGGGUAUUUAUAUUCCGAUGUCAGAGGUGAAAUUCUUAGAUUUUCGGAAGAUAAACUUAUGCGAAAGCAUUUACCAGGGAUGUUUUCAUUA